rnacentral:lncRNA from 1 species
UGGCUAUUUUAGAACCUUGGGCAUUGCUGCGAUCAUCUACAGGGUAAUCUAGUUACCCUUAAGGUAUUUCUCUAUUCCUCAUAUUUUUAGAUUUAAUUUUAGAUUUAAUAUCAGAUAAUAAAAAUUAGAUCUAAUAGAUCUUAGAUCUAAAAUAUCAUAGGAUAAUUUUUUUUGAAAUAUUCUACCCCAGAUCUCAUUAGAUCUG